UCGACCGAGUUACUUUUGUUUUUCUUCUUAUAACAACAACCAUAAUAAUACCGAAAAUAUUAACAAAUACGAAAUUUUUAAGUCCUAAACCAUAAUUAAUUACUUUCUAAUAAAAGGGCCAGUCAUGCAAAUUUCACAAAAACUCCAUUGAAAGAGGCUGAAAUUCCUAUUUUGCCCCUCUAAGCUAGAAUCUAAUCCCAAUCGAUCUCGUACGACGGAUACUUCUGCGGCGGCUCCUCCGGGUCAGCGAACGUGAAGUCCGAAAACGACGAAGAUCCCGAUCCCGCGGUGGGAGGAGAUACAGCGAUCGAAGGCGACUACUCCUCGCGGACUUGACCUUCUCUGAUGACUGAUUUGGCGACGAACCCACCUUCUCAGCCUUACCUAAGGUUUUUUUGGUAACGAAUUUAUGAUCCGAUCGUCGCUUUUACCCUAGGGUUUGGUGGUCUCUCUCAAUUGUACUGUUUUGAUAUCGAAUUUAUGAUCCGAUCAUCAUCGCUCCCGACCCCAGAUUCUGAAUUUUCACGCAUUACUAUGGCUUUAAUUUUCAUAAAUUCUUAAUUCCUAUGUACGCGAUUAAGAUGUGUAUGCCACGGCUCGCCCUUCUGUCUUAUCAUGUUUAACUUGAUGACAAAGUAACACGGACAUGCGACAGAUUGUGGAGGAUGCGUUGCUCGGUGGGUGAUGGUUUUCAUGGAUUGUUGUCUUCUCUGCGCUACAUCUUCAGAUGACGUUCUUGCUGUGUACAUGACAUUCAGAUGAGAGAUCGAUGAUCCACAUAUUAUUCCCUACACGAAUCGUGGAGGCACCUGGGGGACUGAUAUGAUAAAGUUUGUGCCUUAGACCAAGUCUCCCAAAGAUCACGAGGAACCAAGGUUUCUGAGUUCAACUUUCAGAUGAUGUUCUUCUUGCUGUCAUGUCUCAUUAUAUCUUGAAGGAUUCCUUUGAUCUGUCGUUACUCCCUGUGGCCUGUUUGACAGUCUCCCUUUGUUAUAUCCCAGGCAGCAUCAAGAACCUGAAGCCUCUUUGACAGGCUUUGAUGGAAACGCUUCUUCUAUGUGCCUACGUCUUGCGGUGUUUUGGAACCCAAUUAUGAUCUGAUCAUGGCGUAAUCUUCUCCAUGCUGCUAUGUCUUCAGGCACGUUCUCACAGAUUUGUGGAGAAUGCUACGAUUGAUCGGUGAUGGAUUUGACUGAUCGUUGUCACUCUAAUUCAUGUUGAUUUUUCUUCUAGGGAUUGUGGAGGAGGAUGCGUUGAUCGGUUGGUGAUGGUCUUGAACUUUGAUAAUCAUUUUUGUCUUCUCUGCGCUACAUCUUCAGGUAAUCUCUUGGACCUUAUUGUUGUUGUGACCAUUGGCGUUUCUCUCCACAACUAAUCUCAUCUUCAACUCCGACCAAGAAGCAGAUCCGAGAUGGUUUUGAAGAAAAUUGGAAAGUCUCAUAACAUACCUCAACAAGUUCGUGUUCUUCGUAAUCCUCCUGCUUCACCAUCUGUAGAUAUGGUGCAAGCCAGUGUCGUUUUGCAAGUGUGGAUCGGAGGACCUUGCUCUGUCCACAUGACAGCAACUCUCACUCUCACGGGACAACCUGCAAGUGGUAACGUUUUUUUUCUUCUUCUUAUCUGAGUCAUUGCUUGACCUACUUAAGUGUUGUGCAGCAGAUCUUAUGCAUUUGCCAGGAGAGCCCACGAGAGGAUAAUAAGAGUCAGAUGAAUAUAUUUAAAGAGUUAAAAAGAUGUUGGAGGAAAACAGUUGUCUCUUGCGUUCAAUCCGAACGGAUCUGUGCUCGCUGCUGGUGCGGAGGAUGGGACUUUGAAUGGCCUAGCUUGCAUGAAAAGGUUGCUUAAUGGUGGUCCACUUUGUCGGGUUUUGGAGGUGAGUGCUUCUACUGCUGUUCCCACAGUCUAUCAAAAGAGAAGGUCGAGAUGUUUGCCUCCUGUAGAUUUUAUGGAGACAAUGCAGGUUCUGAGCCAGCCAAGCAAUGUCCCCUAUCUUGAAGGAGAUUCUGCCACGAUCCAAGAUUUGUUUGUUGUGUUCUCUUGUGCUUCUUUGUGUAAUUUUUACAUUUACUCCCUUAUUUUUAUCUGCCACCAUCUACCUUAACAGGAGAAUUAGAAUUCUUGGAGCUUCGAACUCAAAGCCACGGUUCAAGAGCCAGCCAAGCAAUGGCCCCUAUCUUGAAGGAGAUUUCGUCCACUAUCCAAGUUUACUAGGAAAACAGCUGGAGGCCUCUGAAGAACGAUUGCGAGAAUAUCCUGUGAUGUGUACAUCCUUUGGCGGAUGUUUACAUCAUCAUUGGUUUGAAUUACAAUUUUAAGGUUUAAUUAUUUUGUGAAUUAGAUAAAGGAGAUCAUCAUCAUUCAAGCAAGGUAGAGACCAUGUACAACUAAUUUCCAUGAAUGACACCAUUCCAUGAGCGAACGUCCAAGAAGAAGAAGAAGAACACCUCCACUCCAGUGUCACCACAUUAUUGCGCGCGAUCACCAGAUCCUAUGGCUGACAUCAUUGUUCGUGGUUCUGCUGUUUGGAAUUCUAGUUUUGCCUUGAAGUUCUUAGACCAAGUCUUCCCAAAGCUUGCUUAUGGACCGACGUGGUUAUUGGGGAAGACUCAGUACAUUAAUCAUUACAACAUGAUGACAAAGUAAUUCGCUUCAUAUGUUUUUGUCUUGUUCGAUCAUCUUUUCUCAAGUGCCUCUUGUCAUACCUGUUUGCGGAACAGCUUGUGUUGGCAAGUCCACUUAUAGCUACACAACUUGCCAAAUGUCUCACAGGUAUCAGUCUGAUUUUGGCAACCAAUUAUUUGUUUUGAGAUUGCUUAUGGAGCCAACAUGGUUAUUGGAAAAUACUGAAUGGAGGAUAAACCUCAUACAGCAGUAACAGACAUGGUUUAUGAGCUACUUCGAACAACAACUGAGUACGUUUUUCUCUUUUCUAAUGUUGUUACAUACUAUAAAGAAGAUACCCAAACAUGUGUCGAGUUCCCUUUGGAGUUGGACUUGCUCCCCUUAGAUGAGCAUUGAGCAGUAACCAAGAUUCCCAAGUUUCUACAAAAUACCAUCUUUAUGCCAUUGUGGAGCAUCUUUUGGUUAUUACUCUGCUUAAGUUUGAUGACGCCAUGAUGAUUGCUGGGCUGAAAUUGCUCGUGACAACAUGGGAAGUCUGGUGCGAAAGAAGUCAACUUUCCCUUCUGGUAUUAUAGCGCUUGCGGUUUAUAUUCACAGCAAGGGCAGUUUAGGCUCGGGAUUUACUCAGAUGCCAGGUAUUUUACUUGCAUGUAUACACUUGCAGCAAAACCAUGCCAGGUUCUUUAGGCCAUGAGGAGCAUGAUGCCAAUACGUUUGCAGACAGUGAGUAACAAUACUUGGGAUCAAAUUUCAGGGAAUUGAUUACUUGAAGUAUGAAAACUGCAACAAUGAUGGGUCUAAGCCGACUGUCAGGUGUUUUGGAAGCGGAUUUAUGAUCCGAUCAUAGCUGCCUCCUUGAUACAGAGGAAUUCAGAUAAGUACUUACACUAUUAUUCUCUUAUACCUAAAACUUCAGAGCAGUCUUAAACAUGUAAAGAAGGGUCACAUAAAUGUUUUUUUCUUUUUUUUUUUUAUAAUCAUCUUUAUGUACAAUAAAGUUAAAUAUUUUUGGAGCAUU